rnacentral:rRNA from 1 species
GAUUUAACAUUGAGACGAGUGGCGAACUGGUGAGUAACACGUGGGUAACCUGCCCUUGAAGUAGGGGAUAACACUUGGAAACAGGUGCUAAUACCGUAUAACAACCAAAACCACCUGGUUUUGGUUUAAAAGACGGCUUCGGCUGUCACUUUAGGAUGGACCCGCGGCGUAUUAGCUUGUUGGUAAGGUAACGGCCUACCAAGGCGAUGAUACGUAGCCGACCUGAGAGGGUAAUCGGCCACAUUGGGACUGAGACACGGCCCAAACUCCUACGGGAGGCAGCAGUAGGGAAUCUUCCACAAUGGACGAAAGUCUGAUGGAGCAACGCCGCGUGAGUGAUGAAGGGUUUCGGCUCGUAAAACUCUGUUGUUGGAGAAGAACAGGUGUCAGAGUAACUGUUGACAUCUUGACGGUAUCCAACCAGAAAGCCACGGCUAACUACGUGCCAGCAGCCGCGGUAAUACGUAGGUGGCAAGCGUUGUCCGGAUUUAUUGGGCGUAAAGCGAGCGCAGGCGGUUUCUUAGGUCUGAUGUGAAAGCCUUCGGCUUAACCGGAGAAGUGCAUCGGAAACCGGGAGACUUGAGUGCAGAAGAGGACAGUGGAACUCCAUGUGUAGCGGUGAAAUGCGUAGAUAUAUGGAAGAACACCAGUGGCGAAGGCGGCUGUCUGGUCUGUAACUGACGCUGAGGCUCGAAAGCAUGGGUAGCGAACAGGAUUAGAUAC